rnacentral:rRNA from 1 species
UACAGAGGGGGCUAGCGUUGUUCGGAAUUACUGGGCGUAAAGGGCGCGUAGGCGGCUCGGUAAGUAGGGGGUGAAAUCCUGCGGCUUAACCGCAGGGCUGCCUUCUAAACUGUCGAGCUCGAGCACGGUAGAGGCAGAUGGAAUUCCCGGUGUAGCGGUGGAAUGCGUAGAGAUCGGGAAGAACAUCAGUGGCGAAGGCGGUCUGCUGGGCCGUUGCUGACGCUGAGGCGCGGACAGCGUGGGGAGCAAACAGGG